rnacentral:rRNA from 1 species
GUGCCAGCAGCCGCGGUAAUACGUAGGUGGCAAGCGUUAUCCGGAAUUAUUGGGCGUAAAGCGCGCGUGGGCGGUUUUUUAAGUCUGAUGUGAAAGCCCACGGCUCAACCGUGGAGGGUCAUUGGAAACUGGAAAACUUGAGUGCGGAAGAGGAAAGUGGAAUUCCAUGUGUAGCGGUGAAAUGCGCAGAGAUAUGGAGGAACACCAGUGGCGAAGGCGACUUUCUGGUCUGUAACUGACGCUGAUGUGCGAAAGCGUGGGGAUCAAACAGGAUUAGAU